rnacentral:lncRNA from 1 species
AUUGCCCACUAAAAAAGAAAAUUUUUAUAUUUGAAUGUAGCAGGCUUGCUCUUGAUUCCUUUAAUGAGAUGGUUUACAAUGCUUAGAGAUCCUCUACGUCUACCAAUGAUGCAGCCACCUCUCUAGCAAUUAAGCUGCGAAAUAUCAGAAAAGUAAAAGCUUAGAGUGCUGAAGUCAAAUACAAUACUUCUAAAGAAAAAGAUG